UACACAUGCAAGUCUCCGCACACCUGUGAAAAUGCCCUUCCACCCCCCUGAGAAGGAAGGAGCUGAUAUCAGGCACAAAAUUUUUGCCCAAAACAUCUAGCCACGCCACACCCACAAGGGUUUUCAGCAGUGAUUAAUAUUUUUAAUAAACGACAGUUUGAUUUAGUUAAUGAAAACAGAGCCGGCCAAUCUGGUGCCAGCCGCCGCGGUUACACCACUGAGGCUCAAAUUGAUUUUUAGCGGCGUAAAGCGUGAUUAAAGAAAAUACAUUAUUUUAAGGUUAAACUCUAACUAAGCUGUAGAACGCUUGUUACAAGAAGCUCAUAUUACGAAAGAUGCCUUAACCCACCAACUUGAAUUCACGACAACUGAGAUACAAACUGGGAUUAGAUACCCCAUUAUGCUCAGUUAUAAACUUUAACUUACACCCCCACUCGCCCGGGAACUACGAGCAAUGCUUAAAACCCAAAGGACUUGACGGUGCCCCAUAUCCCCCUAGAGGAGCCUGUCCUAUAAUCGAUACUCCCCGUUCUACCCCACCAUUUUUAGCCUAUCAGCUUGUAUACUUCCGUCAACAGCUUACCGUGUGAACGUAAAGUAAGCCCAAUGUUCACCCAUCAAUACGUCAGGUCAAAGUGCAGCUUAUAAAAUGGAAAGAGAUGGGCUACACUUUCUAUUUUAGAAGAUACGAAAGUUUAUGUGAAACCUUACCCUGAAGGCGGAUUUAGUAGUAAAAAGAAAAUAGCAUGUUCUUUUUAAAUUGCGCCGGGGCGUGUACACACCGCCCGUCACCCUCUUCGACAAACCACCUUAGUACUUAACACGAGAAUAAACAAGAAGAGGUAAGUCGUAACAUGGUAAGUAUACCGGAAGGUGUACUUGGAUAA
rnacentral:ncRNA from 1 species